rnacentral:rRNA from 1 species
UACAGAGGGGGCAAGCGUUGUUCGGAAUUACUGGGCGUAAAGGGCGCGUAGGCGGCCUUCUAAGUCGAACGUGAAAUCCCCGGGCUCAACCCGGGGAACUGCGUCCGAUACUGGAAGGCUUGAAUCCGGGAGAGGGAUGCGGAAUUCCAGGUGUAGCGGUGAAAUGCGUAGAUAUCUGGAGGAACACCGGUGGCGAAGGCGGCGAUCCUGGACCGGUAUUGACGCUGAGGCGCGAAAGCCAGGGGAGCAAACGGG